rnacentral:rRNA from 1 species
AUAGGGAGUCGGACCUGCCCAGUGAAUUUAUUUAAACGGCCGCGGUACUCUGACCGUGCAAAGGUAGCAUAAUCAUUUGCCCUAUAAUUGAGGGCUAGUAUGAAUGGUUUGACAAGAAUAAAGCUGUCUCUUUAUAAUUAAUUAGAAUUUUAUUUUCAGGUGAAGAAGCCUGAAUUAAAUUAAAAGACAAGAAGACCCUAUCGAGCUUUAAAUAAGUUAAUAGAAUUAUAAUAAUUAUAGAUUAAAAAAAUUUACUUUAAAUUAUUUUGGUUGGGGCGACAAAGGAACAUAAAAAGCUUCUUUUAUACAUUUUUAUAACAUGCGAGUAUUUGAUCCAAAUAAUUUUGAUUAAAGGAAUUAGUUACCGUAGGGAUAACAGCAUAAUCUUUUUUGAGAGCUCAUAUCGAAAAAAAGGUUUGUGACCUCGAUGUUGGACCAGAAUAUCCUAAAGAUGCAGAAGUCUUUAAGGGUUGGUCUGUUCGACCAUUAAAAUUCUA